AUAUUUGAUGGUUUUGUUGCUUUGCUCGGGAGUUCUCGGGAGUAAUUUAAUGCCGAAGGUCGCUGCCUAGUGGAAAUAAUAUAAUACGUCAUUAAUAUGGCGCCAAAAGAUUGGGUUCUCGAUCUGUAGCGAGGAGGGAGGGAGGCAGCCGCUGAGCGCAGCGUUACUAUCCCACCAGUAACUUGGGCAUUGCCGGGGCGGGGGCCGGAGGAGGAGGAGAGGAUGAUUUUUGGAUCCUGAGAAUUGAUCUAUGUUGGAUCAGUAAGUUUUAUUAUGAUUUUUUUUUUCAAAUUUGGGGGGCUGAAGACUUAGAGCUAUUUCUUCUUUUGGAUUUGCGAAGAACAUGCGGUUUUCAGUUCAUAGCCCUGAUGAAGCAAGUUACUCUGCUCUCCUAAUAAAUGCAAGAAAAUGACCUUGGAGGGCCUUUUUAAUUACACAUAGAAGUGACAAUUUGCUGCCUGCUGUUUCCCGGGGAGAUCAUGAAACGAGGUCGCCUUCCCAGCAGCAGUGAGGAUUCUGACGACAAUGGCAG
rnacentral:lncRNA from 1 species